AGAGGAUUGUUUUGAGGUGACCAGAGAGGCCAUGCUCCAUUUGGGCAUUGACACCCCUACCCAGAACAACAUCUUUAAGGUCAGAAGAAAAGCCACGCCACUUAAGUUUGGCAGAGAUGACGGGCAGCCCUUUGCAUAGAGCUUUUCCCUGGACUUGGAGUUGGUCUUUCCCUGAGGAUCUAGGACUUUGGGCCCUUCUGUGCUACCUCCAAGGAAUCAGUCACCUCUGUUCUGCUGAGUCUGGAGACCAGGUGGUGGGGUGGACGGGGCAUAAGGAAGAGUGAUGCAUACACAGUGCUAGAGUACAGAAUGCAGUAAGUGAUCCAUGGGGGCAGAGAGCAAGGUACCGCAUGAUCAGAAGAGAGAACUAGUGCUACCGCCUUGCUUGUCUAGUACAUUAAAACUUACAAGUCAUGUUCACACUUCUCUGCUCACUUAGUUUUUUAAACAGUCCUCUGUGUGUGUUUAUUUCCCUUUAUGCCUGAGAAAACCAGAGAGGUAAAGUGACGUGCCCAAGGUCAGAUACCACUAAGUGGUGAUACAGAGUACCAGACAUAGUAAUUCCAAGUUCCUACCCUCUCUGUCUUCCCCCAACCCGUGCCCCGUCGUCCUCUGGAACAUGAGACUGCCCCAGAGCAGCAGGAGGGGAUAGAUAGGAUGGCCUGGCAGUCGAGAAAGGGAGGCCACUUCAGGGAGGUAGCAAUGCAGUGG
rnacentral:lncRNA from 1 species